AUUUAUAUGACCAUCCAACAGCACAGAAUGAACACCUCAGAAUGUACUAUGUGAAUGAGGGUAUAUAUGGAAGUUUUCUGACAUGUUUGACUGAUCCAGGGUGUUAUGUACCUUCACACUUUAAAGGCAAUCAUGAAGAUUAUAUAACAGUAUUAUUUGGGGACCAACUUGCGCUGCAAUUGAUUUAGUUAUAGACAAAAUCAAACUACCCGAUCUAUCAACUGGGGAUUGGAUAUACUUCAAGGAUAUGGGAUCAUACACCUUUUCUACAGCAUCUAAUUUUAACAGUAUGCCAAGAGUCGAGGAGUACUUCACAUGUGAAAAGAAAUUAUGGGAACAAGUAUAUCAACAUGAUCAAUUUUAGCUGCAGUCUUGUUAUAGCAGAGCACAAAAUGAAUUAAAAUGACUUCGUAUAUGACGUACUGUAACAUUUAUUACUUUUGUUACAUAUCAUUUACAGUAUAUUAUUGCUUAUAUAAUUGGAAACAUGUCCCGGAUAGAAGAAGAUGAUAUAAAACAGAUGAAGUUUCAGUAUGGGUUUUGAAGAUCCGAUAUGUUACACGAUCAAUGAAUACUGGUUUACCUUGCUAAAUUCAAAUAUUGCGUCAAGUUCAUAUAGAUGAAUAAGUGAAAGGACAAAGAUGAACAGUUUAUAUUAGUUAAUUUUUUCAUUAGUUGUAAAUGGCUUUGAACUAGCUGUCAGAUAACUGCGAGUACUCUCAGAUCUGUUCAUUGUGUCUUUUUGUGUCGGGAUGUAAAAGUACCCUGCCACGUCCACUUGUAUUUUUUGUCUAUCUUUUUCAACUGAUUUUUAUAUGUUAAACCCCGCCACAUUAUUUAUGUUUGUGCCUGUCUCAAGUCAGGAGCCUGUAAUUCAGUGGUUGUCGUUUGUUUAUGUGUUACAUAUUUGUUUUUCGUUCAUUUUUUUUUACAUAAAUAAGGCCGUUAGUUUUCUCGUUUGAAUUGUUUUACAUUGUCUUAUCGGGGCCUUUUAUAGCUGACUAUGCGGUAUGGGCUUUGCUCAUUGUUGAUGGCCGUAUGGUGACCUAUAGUUGUUAAUUUUUGUGUCAUUUUGGUUGUUUGUGGAUAGUUGUUUCAUUGGCAAUUAUACCACAUCUUCUUUUUUAUAUUAUGUCUGCUAAUCUAGAUACUAUAUAUGCAUAUACACCUACACUUAAAUACAAAUUACUUCCAAUGAUCUUCAAGAAUUUUCACAGAAUACACAUGUUUUAUGUUAUAAAACCAUAGGCGGGUUUUAUUAAGGGGGCUGGGGCUACAUAUAUGGUUAUUGCAUAGACUUUUUACAUGUUUCACUUAAAAUAUGUUUCCUACUUUGGG